UAGGGAAUCUUCCGCAAUGGACGAAAGUCUGACGGAGCAACGCCGCGUGAGUGAAGAAGGAUUUCGGUUCGUAAAACUCUGUUGUUAGGGAAGAAAAAAUGUAUAGUAACUAUAUACAAAAGAGACGGUACCUAACCAGAAAGCCACGGCUAACUACGUGCCAGCAGCCGCGGUAAUACGUAGGUGGCAAGCGUUGUCCGGAAUUAUUGGGCGUAAAGCGCGCGCAGGUGGUUUAGAAAGUCGGAUGUGAAAGCCCACGGCUCAACCGUGGAGGGUCAUUGGAAACUAAUAAACUUGAGUGCAGGAGAGAAAAGUGGAAUUCCUAGUGUAGCGGUGAAAUGCGUAGAGAUUAGGAGGAACACCGGUGGCGAAAGCGGCUUUUUGGCCUGCAACUGACACUGAGGCGCGAAAGCGUGGGGAGCAAACAGG
rnacentral:rRNA from 1 species